UCUGCAUCUCUCGUUGCUGUGUUGGUGCUGGGAGCAUUGCUGCGGGAUGGGGUGUGGGGUCCUGGGGCACGGCGUGGUGCUCUGAGUGUGGGGCAUGGGGUCCCAGUGCAUGUUGCAGUGCUCAGAGCAUCCCUGUAGGAUGGUGCACUGGGUCCUAGUGCAUGUUGCAACGCUUGGUGCAACCCUGCAGGGUGGUGCAUGGGGUUGCAGUGCUCGUUGCAACACAGAGCAUCCCUGCAGGGCGAUGCAUGGGGUCCUGGUGCAUGUUGCAACACAGAGCAUCCCUGCAGGGUGAUGCAUGGGGUCGCAGUGCUCAUUGCAACACAGAGCAUCCCUGCAGGGCGAUGCAUAAGGUCCCAGUGCACGUUGCAGUACUCAGAGCAUCCCUGCAGGGUGAUGCAUGGGAUCCCAAUGCUCACUGCAACACAGCAACCCUGCAGGGUGAUGCAUGAGGUCCCAGUCCAUGUUGCAAUGCUUGGUGCAUCCCUGCAGGGUGGUGCAUGAGGUCCUGGUGCAUGUUGCAGUGCUCAGAGCAACCUUGCAGGGUGAUGCAUGAGGUCCCAGUGCACGUUGCAAUGCUUGGUGCAACCCUGCAAGGUGAUGCAUGGUGUCCCAAUGCUCGUUGCAACACAGAGCAUCCCUGCAGGGCGAUGCAUGGGAUCCCAGUGCACGUUGCAAUGCUCUGAGCAACCUUGCAGGGUGAUGCAUGGGAUCCCAAUGCUCGUUGCAACACAGCAUCCCUGCAGGGUGAUGCAUGAGGUCCCAGUGCAUGUUGCAGUGCUCAGAGCAUCACUGCAGGGUGAUGCAUGGAGUCCCAGUGCAUGUUGCAAUGCUUGGUGCAACCCUGUAGGAUGCUGCAUGGGGUUGCAGUGCUUGUUGCAACACAGAGCAUCCCUGCAGGGUGAUGCAUGGGGUCCCAGUGCAUGUUGCAGUGCUCAGAGCAUCCCUACAGGGUGAUGCAUGGGAUCCCAGUGCAUGUUGCAAUGCUUGGUGCAACCCUGUAGGAUGCUGCAUGGGGUCGCAGUGCUCAUUGCAACACAGAGCAUCCCUGCAGGGUGAUGCAUGAGGUCCCAGUCCAUGUUGCAAUGCUUGGUGCAUCCCUGCAGGGUGAUGCAUGGGGUCCCAACGCAUGUUGCAACACAGAGCAUCCCUGCAGGGUGGUGCAUGAGGUCCCAGUGCAUAGGGUUGCAGUGCUCUGAGCAACCCUGCAGGGUGAUGCAUGGGGUCCUGGUGCAUGUUGCAAUGCUUGGUGCAUCCCUGCAGGGUGCUGCAUGGGAUCCCAAUGCACAUUGCAGCACAGAGCAUCCCUGCAGGGUGAUGCAUGGGGUCCCAGUGCACAUUGCAGUGCUCUGAGCAACCCUGCAGGGUGAUGCAUGGGGUCCUGGUGCAUGUUGCAAUGCUUGGUGCAACCCUGCAAGGUGAUGCACGGGGUCCCAGUGCAUGUUGCAAUGCUUGGUGCAACCCUGUAGGAUGCUGCAUGGGGUUGCAGUGCUUGUUGCAACACAGAGCAUCCCUGUAGGAUGGUGCACUGGGUCCUAGUGCAUGUUGCAGUGCUUGGUGCAACCCUGCAGGAUGAUGCAUGAGGUCCUGGUGCAUGUUGCAGUG